rnacentral:lncRNA from 1 species
UUAAGCCCCGAGAGUGUAAAUUUGGAACGAAUCGAUGUCAACGUUCACAAGAACCAAAACCGGAACAACAUUAGACUACUCAGUUGCGCCCUAACAGUAUAACUUUGCAAUGAGUACUUUUUCUCAUUUAAUCGAACAAAGAGUAAAACCUAAUUAAAUUGUUUGAUUAAGCCCCGAGAGUGUAAAGUUGGAACGAAUAGAUAUCAACGUUCACACAAACCAAAAUCGGAACAACAUUAGACUACUCACUUACACCCUAACAGUAUAAAUUUGCAACCAGUACUUUUUCUCAUUCUAUCGAACAAAGAGAAAAAGCUAAUUAUAUUGUUCUAUUAUGCCCCGAGAGUGUAAAUUUGGAACGAAUUGAUGUCAACGUUCACAAGAAUCAAAACCGGAACCACAUUAGACUGCUCACUUGCGCCCUAACAGUAUAACUUCGCAACAACUACUUUUUCUCAUUCAAUCGAACAAAUAGUAAAACCUAAUUAUAUUGUUCUAUUAAGCCCCGAGAGUGUAAAUUUGGAACGAAUUGAUGUCAACGUUCCAAAUUUAUUGUUCGAUUAGACACAACUACUCAGUUGCGUCCUAACAGUAUAACUUUGCAACGAGUACUUUUUCUCAUUUAAUCGAAUAAAGAGUAAAACCUAAUUAAAUUGUUCGAUUAAGCCCCGAGAGUGUAAAGUUGGAACGAAUCGAUGUCAACGUUCACAAAACCAAAACCAGAACAAUAUUAGACUACUCAGUUGCGCCCAAAUAGUAUAACUUUGCAACGAGUACUUUUUCUCAUUCAAUCGAACAAAGAGUAAAACCUAAUUAUAUUGUACUAGUAAGCCCCGAGAGUGUAAAUUUGGAACGAAUCGAUGUCAACGUUCAUAAGAACCAAAACCGGAACAACAUUAGAUUACUCAGUUCCGCCUUAACAGUAUAACUUUACAACGAGUACUUUUUCUCAUUCAAUCAAACAAAGUGUAAAACC